rnacentral:rRNA from 1 species
AACGACUCUCGACAACGGAUAUCUCGGCUCUCGCAUCGAUGAAGAACGUAGCGAAAUGCGAUACUUGGUGUGAAUUGCAGAAUCCCGUGAACCAUCGAGUCUUUGAACGCAAGUUGCGCCCGAAGCCACUAGGCCGAGGGCACGCCUGUCUGGGUGUCACGC